AGUGGCAUUUCCACCCAGGUCUCCCCUUCAUGUCUCAUGCUGAGCUGGUGCCAGGGAAGGCUGAAGGAGGACAGCAUUUCUCAUCCUUUCUAUUGCUUCUCUUUGGAGCCUCCUAGUGGCUCCCAGCUGUGGCAGGACAAACGGUAGCCCAUCUGAGAGGUUAGGAAACUCAGGCCAUAGCAAGCAGGAAGGGCCCUCAGCAAUAUGCACUGGGGGGACAAAGCUGGGAGACCACCACUCAGGGGUGCCACCAUCAUCAUUUCUGUCCUUUAGGCACAGGUGGCAUUGUCCUGCUUGGCUCUCUUUCCUGGGCUAGUGCCUUUUCUGGGCUUGAGUUGGGAGAAGAGGGCGGCUGGUGGGAGGGGUACCGGGUUGGCCUGGAUGUCCUGGGCUAUCUCCCCAGGGAUCAUGAGCUGAAGGGUUUUAUUCUGGGUCAUUACCUCUUCAGGUCUAGCUGCGAGUGGGUGGGGUGAGAAAAAAAAAAAAA
rnacentral:lncRNA from 1 species